rnacentral:rRNA from 1 species
GAUGAACGCUGGCGGCGUGCUUAACACAUGCAAGUCGAACGAUGACGCCCAGCUUGCUGGGUGGCUUAGUGGCGAACGGGUGAGUAACACGUUAGCAACCUGCCCCUGACUCUGGGAUAAGCGCUGGAAACGGCGUCUAUUACUGGACAUAUCCCGUCACCGCAUGGUGUGCGGGUGGAAAGAUUUUUCGGUUUGGGAUGGGCUCGCGGCCUCUCAGCUUGUUGGUGAGGUAAUGGCUCACCAAUGCGUCGACGGGUAGCCGGCCUGAGAGGGUGAGCGGCCAAACUGGGACUGGGACACGGCACAGACUACAACGGGAGGCAGCAGUGCGGAAGGUUGCACAAGGGGCGGAAGCAUGAUGCAGCAACGCAGCGUGGGGGAUGACGGCAUGCGGGUUGUAAACCUCUGUUAGCAGAGAAGAAGCGAAAGUGACGGUACCGGCAGAAAAAGCACCGGCUAACUACGUG